GUUUCUGUAGUGUAGUGGUCAUCACGUUCGCCUAACACGCGAAAGGUCCUCGGUUCGAUACCAAGCAGAAACA
rnacentral:tRNA from 2 species